rnacentral:rRNA from 1 species
UACGGAGGGUGCAAGCGUUAUCCGGAUUCACUGGGUUUAAAGGGUGCGUAGGUGGUUAGGUAAGUCAGCGGUGAAAUCCCCGAGCUUAACUUGGGAACUGCCAUUGAUACUAUCUGUCUUGAAUACCUUGGAGGUGAGCGGAAUAUGUCAUGUAGCGGUGAAAUGCUUAGAUAUGACAUAGAACACCAAUUGCGAAGGCAGCUCACUACACGGUCAUUGACACUGAGGCACGAAAGCGUGGGGAUCAAACCGG